GACGAACGCUGGCGGCGUGCUUAACACAUGCAAGUCGAACGGAAAGGCCCUGCUUUUGUGGGGUGCUCGAGUGGCGAACGGGUGAGUAACACGUGAGUAACCUGCCCUUGACUUUGGGAUAACUUCAGGAAACUGGGGCUAAUACCGGAUAGGAGCUCCUGCUGCACGGUGGGGGUUGGAAAGUUUCGGCGGUUGGGGAUGGACUCGCGGCUUAUCAGCUUGUUGGUGGGGUAGUGGCUUACCAAGGCUUUGACGGGUAGCCGGCCUGAGAGGGUGACCGGCCACAUUGGGACUGAGAUACGGCCCAGACUGCUACGGGAGGCAGCAGUGGGGAAUAUUGCACAAUGGGCGGAAGCCUGAUGCAGCAACGCCGCGUGCGGGAUGACGGCCUUCGGGUUGUAAACCGCUUUCGCCUGUGACGAAGCGUGAGUGACGGUAAUGGGUAAAGAAGCACCGGCUAACUACGUG
rnacentral:rRNA from 1 species